ACACUACUUGUAUAAUGUUUUAGUAUAUUCCACUUGUAUUGAUAUUGUUUAAAUUUAUAAGUUCGUAGCUUGCACAUAUUCAGUGAUGGCACCAGGUGGGAGAGUACGUCGUUCGCGCACUGGAUUUACCCCUUUUACCCGUGAUGCGACGGAGCCAUCAUCGCUGUCACAUGUUGCAUCGCAGGCGUCUGAUCCCUCAGUCGUGCAUACACCGGGCACUGCAUCAUCAUCGACCAGCCGACGAGGACGUGGACCCACGUGCGAGUUGCUUUUAGAGCAACUUACGCGUGAGGGUAGGGUGACGGUAGAGUUCCCACAGGACUGUAUUAGACCUGUUGGGAACAAUGUCAUGUUGUUUACGUCGGAGGUCAGUGUCUUAUGCAGAUCUCUGAUCCCCCCCACCACCCCCCGUUGGGGAGACGUGACAGAUGAUGUGUGGCAGCACAUCCGUCAGCGCCUUCAGGAUAAAUUUGACUUGGAUUUGAGUGUUCCGCACAUCUCCCAUGCCGUCGAUGACAUGAUGAAGGAGCGGUUCGAGGUUUACCGCAGUAAGUUACACCGGCAGUAUAAGCGGUGCAUGAGCCAUAAGGAGGUCGUACAGUCCGCACCGCUGCACGUGACCGAUGAGGACUGACGGAUACUCUGCGAUAGGUUUUCGUCUGAUUCUUUUCAGAAGAGGAGCAAAAUAAAUUCUGACAACAGAGGAAAGUUAGAAGUGAACCACGUAGCUGGUUUAAAGUCAUUUGUACGAAUUCAUCACGACAUGCGAGAUUCCGUCACUGGCCAGGAGCCCGGACCAGUAAACUUCUACAAAGAGACUCACUGUCGGCAGGCGAUGGGAUAUUGGGUACGUCCUAGAGCCAGCGAGAUUUGGGAGGAGAUGGACACCUUACGCAGUCAGCCCACUCCUGAUGGUACUCAACGGAGUGAGCCAGAGAUCCUGAGUCAGGUGCUUGGCACCCGUUCUGGAUAUGUGCGUGGGUUUGGUCAUGGUGCCAAGCUCAUGACACCCGCUAGAGCUGCCUCCAGCCGAUCCAUCGUCAUUGACAACAGCGCCGUACGCUGAGCUGAUACCGCAGAGAGAGAGGUUCAGCAGCUACAUGUCGUCGUCGAUGACAUCAAAGAUCAGCUGGACAGGCAGAGGGAGGAGCAGGAGAGGAAGAUGAUGGAUCAGCUGGCGAGGCAGAGGGAGGAGUAGGAGAGGAGGAUAGAGGAGGAGCUAGCGAGGCAGAGGGAGGAACAAGAGAGGAGGAUAGACGAUCAGCUGGCGAGGCAGAGGGAGGAGUAAGAGAGGAGGAUGGAGGAGAUGCGGGUGGAGCAUGAGCGACGGAUGAUGGAGAUGUUUCAGGUUUUCGCUGCACGCUUACCCACCGAUGCCCCACCACCGAUGCCUUCAUCUUUGUGAUUUUUUGUAUAUUUUUUUAUAAUGUUAAGUUUAUAUGUAUUUAUGCGUGAAUGAAUGUGAUGCGGAUAAGAUUG